rnacentral:misc_RNA from 1 species
CAACCCUCAAACCCCCGGGUUUGGUGUUGGAGAUCGACACGAAGCCCUUCUGGGUGUGAAGUCGUCUCCCAAAUAUAGUGGCGGUCUCGCUGUAGCUUCCUAUGCGUAGUAGCACACCUCGCACUGGAAAGCAGCAAGCCCACGCCGUUAAACCCCCCACUUUCUGAGU